rnacentral:misc_RNA from 1 species
AUUAGAGCUUGGGGACAGUCUGAAGAUCUCGAGUAUUUGCCUGUCUUUCACCAAACAUAUGUGAGUUUGCAAGGAAGAAGUGUGCCUCGGUCAGUUGAAGAUGGGGAUUCACCCCCCAUGCAUUAUUCCUUGGAAUCAUUUGUUCAUCAGCAACCACUGUCUCCUCCUGAAAGAUAUCCUAUUCCUGACUCAGGAUUUGAUGAUGAAAACCAUGCUACAUUGGGAGAUAACAGUCGGACCCUAUCAGUUGAAGAAAAGAAUGAA